GAUGAAGAACGUAGCUAAAUGCGAUAAGUAAUGUGAAUUGCAGAAUUCAGUGAAUCAUCGAAUCUUUGAACGCACAUUGCGCCCCUUGGUAUUCCGAGGGGCAUGCCUGUUCGAGCGUCAUUAUAACCCUUCAAGCUCAGCUUGGUGUUGGGGCCUGCUGUAACUGGUAGCCCUUAAAAUCAGUGGCAGUGCUAUUAGGCUCUAAGCGUAGUAAUUCUUCUCGCUAUAGUGUGUAGUGAGCGCUUGCCAGAACCCCAAACUUUUAUAUGAUUGACCUCGGAUCAGGUAGGGAUACCCGCUGAACUUAAGCAUAUCAAUAAGCGGAGGA
rnacentral:misc_RNA from 1 species